AUUGAUCGCUGGCGGCAUGCUUUACACAUGCAUGUCGAACGGCAUCGCGGGCUUCGGCCUGGCUGCGAGUGGCGAACGGGUGAGUAAUGCAUCGGAACGUGCCCAGGAGUGGGGGAUAGCCCGGCGAAAGCCGGAUUAAUACCGCAUACGACCUGUGGGUGAAAGCGUGUGACCGAAAGGCCUCGCGCUAUUGCAGCUGCCGAUGUCGGAUUAGCUAGUUGGUGGGGUAAAGGCUUACCAAGGCGACGAUCCGUAGCUGGUCUGAGAGGACGACCAGCCACACUGGGACUGAGACACGGCCCAGACUCCUACGGGAGGCAGCAGUGGGGAAUUUUGGACAAUGGGGGCAACCCUGAUCCAGCCAUGCCGCGUGCGGGAAGAAGGCCUUCGGGUUGUAAACCGCUUUUGUUCGGGAAGAAAUCCUCUGGGCUAAUACCCCGGGGGGAUGACGGUACCGGAAGAAUAAGCACCGGCUAACUACGUG
rnacentral:rRNA from 1 species